rnacentral:rRNA from 1 species
UACGGAGGGGGCUAGCGUUGUUCGGAAUUACUGGGCGUAAAGCGCACGUAGGCGGAUUUGUAAGUAGGGGGUGAAAUCCCCAGGCUCAACCUGGGAACUGCCUUCUAAACUGCAAGUCUUGAGAUCAGGAGAGGCGAGUGGAAUUCCGAGUGUAGAGGUGAAAUUCGUAGAUAUUCGGAGGAACACCAGUGGCGAAGGCGACUCGCUGGACUGAUACUGACGCUGAGGUGCGAAAGCGUGGGGAGCAAACAGG